ensembl:snoRNA
UUUCCCAUUUGACUACACAUUUUCUCCAGUUAAUAGAGUUCAGUGGCUAUGCUUAGUGGAUAGAUUAAAAUUGCCAUGAUCUGACGAAGAGGGAGGGGGUUUGAAAUAUGAAAUGGCUGAACAGAAAAAA